AGCGAACGCUGGCGGCAUGCCUAACACAUGCAAGUCGCACGGGGGGGCUUCGGCCUCCCAGUGGCGGACGGGUGAGGAACGCGUAGGGACCUGUCGAGGGGUGGGGGGUAACCGCGGGAAACUGCGGCUAAUACCGCAUGACGCCGCGGCGUGACAGCCGGGGCCAAAGGCGAAAGCCGCCCGCCGAGGGGCCUGCGUCCGAUUAGCUGGUUGGCGGGGUAGCGGCCCACCAAGGCGUCGAUCGGUAGCUGGUCUGAGAGGGUGAUCAGCCACACCGGGACUGAGACUCGGCCCGGACUCCUACGGGAGGCAGCAGUGGGGAAUAUUGGACAAUGGGCGCAAGCCUGAUCCAGCAAUGCCGCGUGGGUGAAGAAGGUCUUCGGAUUGUAAAGCCCUUUCGGCGGGGACGAUGGUGACGGUACCCGCAGAAGAAGCCCCGGCUAACUUCGUG
rnacentral:rRNA from 1 species